rnacentral:lncRNA from 1 species
UGAGAUGCAUUUUGAAUUGGUUUCUUGGGAACACUUCGAAGGAGUUGAUCGACCAACAUUGUUGCAUUGAGAUUGUCGGUCUGCACAGGAUAACAGUGUUCUGGCAACACUGUUAGGCAUAAAUGUCUGAACCACUGAAAUGGAGCAACCAUCCUGAUUCACAGAAACAGUUGGCAAUGUUGUUGCAUGACCUGCAUUUUGGACUUUCUUCAAACAAUUUGAGCAGUUCCAUCGCCGAAACUGUGCCCCUGAUAUUGGGCAUGGAUUUUUGCAUUGUUCUUCAUCAUGGUCACAAGAUAUCUGAGACAGAGAGCAAAGUUCUGGAUCCUUUUGCUGUAGCAGAGCGACACACCUCCUGUAAGGAGCAGAAGUUAUCAAUACAACACCGAAUAUAAUGUUUUCUCCGAUACAAAGAGCCAAAGAUAGAGAUUGACAGGCUACAAAUCAUAUGAGCGUAGUGCUAGGUACGUUAUAAUUUUGCUCCCUUGAAAUAAACGACAGUGAUUGAAGGGCUACAAAACCAAGACUGCAAAACUAUUUCAAAUAAGUACACAACUCUAGUUGAAUAUUGAUCUCAAAAAAAACUCUAGUUGAAUAUUAACUAAGCUGCAAUACAAAAAAAAAAAUAUUUCAGCGAUAAAUGUGAUGGGCAUUAUGCCUAUUCCACACACACACACACACACACA